rnacentral:rRNA from 1 species
UACAGAGGUCCCAAGCGUUGUUCGGAUUCAUUGGGCGUAAAGGGUGCGUAGGCGGCGCGGUAAGUCGGGUGUGAAAUCUCGGAGCUUAACUCCGAAACUGCAUUCGAUACUGCCGUGCUUGAGGACUGGAGAGGAGACUGGAAUUUACGGUGUAGCGGUGAAAUGCGUAGAUAUCGGGAGGAACACCAGUGGCGAAGGCGGCUUUCUGGCCUGUUCUUGACGCUGAGGCGCGAAAGCUAGGGGAGCAAACGGG